ACAUUUGACACUAGAUAUUUUUAAGAAUGCAAUAUAGCUGAUGUUCUGAAAUUUCUCUGUCAUCACAACGUUACAAAACCUGCACUGAAUUUGACUGGCAAAAUCUUCCAUGGUUUAACAAAUUGAAAGUGCGCAAGAAAUUAUUCACAAUGGGAAAUGACUGUGGUGUUCGUGUAUGAAAGACUGUCGCAGAUAAUCCAUUGUAGGAGGUAAAGCGAAGGUAUCCUGAAAUGGUUAAUGUGAUACAGAAAAACGGAAGUCAUUUUGGAAACAGAAUUGAGGCCAGCCGUUAAUCUAAAACAAGCGUUAGAAAAUUUUGCUUCACACGGUAAUCAGUAGUAUAAAAUUGGUACUUGAAGAUGAUAAUUUUUUCAAUGGUAUGAAAAUGUUCAACGAAAUUUAAGCUGCUGUUCCUUUGCAUAUAUUGCUAUUGCCGAGUCACCUUGUUACUUCGUACAUAUUUGGCACCAAAUAAUUACUUCAAUUUUUCCAUUUAUAAACAUUGCUACGUGAACGGAUAUCUAUUUGGAAUCGCAGUCGUAUAAGUAUUAAAGCUGACUUGCAUAGAUACUUCUAACGCAAUUAAAUGAUUAAAUAUCCUUGUCUAAUCAAGUGGAAAAAUAAUAUUCUCAUUUUAAUAACCAAUUUAACCCG
rnacentral:lncRNA from 1 species